AGGUUGUUAAAAAGUGCUGAUGCAGCGGAAGCCUGCAAGUGUCUCACUAACAUUGUAGGUAAAAACCCGUUACUACACAAGGAGCUGGAUCUAACCUACAGAACUAAAGACAUUAAAGUGAAUCAGCUCUCGGCUUUGCUGCAGGAUCCACAUUACAGACUGCAGAAACUCACACUGAGUGGCUGUGUAAGUGUGAAAUCCUGCACUGAUGUGGUUUUAGCUCUCUGUACAAAUCCAUCACACAUCAGAGAGCUGGAUCUGAGUUGGUGUGAACUAGGAGACUCAGGAGCGGAGAAGCUCUGUAAUCUACUGAAGAAACACGAGUGUAAACUGGAGACACUGAGACUGUAUGCAAGUGUGAAAUCCUGCACUAGUGUGGUUUCAGCCCUCUGUACAAAUCCAUCACACAUCAGAGAGCUGGAUCUGAGUGUGUGUGAACUAGGAGACUCAGGAGUGGAGAAGCUCUGUGAUCUACUGAAGAAACACGAGUG